rnacentral:rRNA from 1 species
UUAAGUGACUAAGCGUACACGGUGGAUGCCUGGGCAGUCAGAGGCGAUGAAGGACGUACUAACUUGCGAUAAGCGCAGAUAAGGCAGUAAGAGCCGUUUGAGUCUGCGAUUUCCGAAUGGGGAAACCCAACUGCAUAAGCAGUUACUGUUAACUGAAUACAUAGGUUAACAGAGCAAACCGGGGGAACUGAAACAUCUAAGUACCCCGAGGAGAAGAAAUCAACCGAGAUUCCGGUAGUAGCGGCGAGCGAACCUGGAUUAGCCCUUAAGCACUCGGUGAAGUAGGUGAACAAGCUGGAAAGCUUGGCGAUACAGGGUGAUAGCCCCGUAACCGACGCUUCAUCGAGCGUGAAAUCGAGUAGGGCGGGACACGUGAUAUCCUGUCUGAAUAUGGGGGGACCAUCCUCCAAGGCUAAAUACUCCUGACUGACCGAUAGUGAACCAGUACCGUGAGGGAAAGGCGAAAAGAACCCCCGUGAGGGGAGUGAAAUAGAACCUGAAACCGUGUACGUACAAGCAGUAGGAGCACCUUCGUGGUGUGACUGCGUACCUUUUGUAUAAUGGGUCAGCGACUUAUAUUCAGUGGCAAGGUUAACCGUAUAGGGGAGCCGUAGCGAAAGCGAGUCUUAACUGGGCGUCAGUCUCUGGAUAUAGACCCGAAACCGGGUGAUCUAGCCAUGGGCAGGUUGAAGGUUGAGUAACAUCAACUGGAGGACCGAACCGACUAAUGUUAGAAAAAUUAGCGGAUGACUUGUGGCUAGGGGUGAAAGGCCAAUCAAACUCGGAGAUAGCUGGUUCUCCCCGAAAGCUAUUUAGGUAGCGCCUCGGACGAAUACUACUGGGGGUAGAGCACUGUUAAGGCUAGGGGGUCAUCCCGACUUACCAACCCUUUGCAAACUCCGAAUACCAGUAAGUACUAUCCGGGAGACACACGGCGGGUGCUAACGUCCGUCGUGGAGAGGGAAACAACCCAGACCGCCAGCUAAGGUCCCAAAGUAUUGCUAAGUGGGAAACGAUGUGGGAAGGCUCAGACAGCUAGGAUGUUGGCUUAGAAGCAGCCAUCAUUUAAAGAAAGCGUAAUAGCUCACUAGUCGAGUCGGCCUGCGCGGAAGAUGUAACGGGGCUAAGCAAUACACCGAAGCUGCGGCAAUGUCUUUUAGAUAUUGGGUAGGGGAGCGUUCUGUAAGCCGUUGAAGGUGAAUCGUAAGGUUUGCUGGAGGUAUCAGAAGUGCGAAUGCUGACAUGAGUAACGACAAAGGGGGUGAAAAACCUCCUCGCCGGAAGACCAAGGGUUCCUGUCCAACGUUAAUCGGGGCAGGGUGAGUCGACCCCUAAGGUGAGGCCGAAAGGCGUAAUCGAUGGGAAACGGUUAAUAUUCCCGUACUUCUGACUAUUGCGAUGGGGGACGGAGAAGGCUAGGUGGGCCAGGCGACGGUUGUCCUGGUUCAAGUGCGUAGGCUUGAGAGUUAGGUAAAUCCGGCUCUCUCUAAGGCUGAGACACGACGUCGAGCUGCUACGGCAGUGAAGUCAUUGAUGCCAUGCUUCCAGGAAAAGCCUCUAAGCUUCAGAUAGUCAGGAAUCGUACCCCAAACCGACACAGGUGGUCGGGUAGAGAAUACCAAGGCGCUUGAGAGAACUCGGGUGAAGGAACUAGGCAAAAUGGUACCGUAACUUCGGGAGAAGGUACGCUCUUGAUGGUGAAGUCCCUCGCGGAUGGAGCUGACGAGAGUCGCAGAUACCAGGUGGCUGCAACUGUUUAUUAAAAACACAGCACUGUGCAAAAUCGCAAGAUGACGUAUACGGUGUGACGCCUGCCCGGUGCCGGAAGGUUAAUUGAUGGGGUUAGCGCAAGCGAAGCUCUUGAUCGAAGCCCCGGUAAACGGCGGCCGUAACUAUAACGGUCCUAAGGUAGCGAAAUUCCUUGUCGGGUAAGUUCCGACCUGCACGAAUGGCGUAAUGAUGGCCACGCUGUCUCCACCCGAGACUCAGUGAAAUUGAAAUCGCUGUGAAGAUGCAGUGUACCCGCGGCUAGACGGAAAGACCCCGUGAACCUUUACUACAGCUUGGCACUGAACAUUGAACCUACAUGUGUAGGAUAGGUGGGAGGCUAUGAAGACGUGACGCCAGUUGCGUUGGAGCCGUCCUUGAAAUACCACCCUUGUAUGUUUGAUGUUCUAACUUAGACCCGUUAUCCGGGUUGAGGACAGUGCCUGGUGGGUAGUUUGACUGGGGCGGUCUCCUCCCAAAGAGUAACGGAGGAGCACGAAGGUGGGCUAAUCACGGUUGGACAUCGUGAGGUUAGUGCAAUGGCAUAAGCCCGCUUAACUGCGAGAAUGACGGUUCGAGCAGGUGCGAAAGCAGGUCAUAGUGAUCCGGUGGUUCUGUAUGGAAGGGCCAUCGCUCAACGGAUAAAAGGUACUCCGGGGAUAACAGGCUGAUACCGCCCAAGAGUUCAUAUCGACGGCGGUGUUUGGCACCUCGAUGUCGGCUCAUCACAUCCUGGGGCUGAAGUCGGUCCCAAGGGUAUGGCUGUUCGCCAUUUAAAGUGGUACGCGAGCUGGGUUUAGAACGUCGUGAGACAGUUCGGUCCCUAUCUGCCGUGGGCGUUGGAAGAUUGAAGGGGGCUGCUCCUAGUACGAGAGGACCGGAGUGGACGAACCUCUGGUGUUCGGGUUGUGUCGCCAGACGCAUUGCCCGGUAGCUAAGUUCGGAAUUGAUAAGCGCUGAAAGCAUCUAAGCGCGAAGCGAGCCCUGAGAUGAGUCUUCCCUGAUACUUUAAGUAUCCUAAAGGGUUGUUCGAGACUAGAACGUUGAUAGGCAGGGUGUGUAAGCGUUGUGAGGCGUUGAGCUAACCUGUACUAAUUGCCCGUGAGGCUUAACCAU